GACGAACCACACAACCGUUAUUCGGAAUUACUGGGCUUAAAGGGGGCGUAGGCGGCGCGGCAAGUUGGGUGUGAAAUCCCUCGGCUCAACCGAGGAACUGCGUCUGAUACUGGGAGGCUAGAGUAUGGGAGAGGGAUGUAGAAUUCCAGGUGUAGCGGUGAAAUGCGUAGAUAUCUGGAGGAACACCUGUGGCGAAAGCGGCUCACUGGACCACAACUGACGCUGAGGCGCGAAAGCUAGGGGAGCAAACAGG
rnacentral:rRNA from 1 species